rnacentral:miRNA from 1 species
UUCAUCAGGCCAAUUUUAGUCUU